UACGUAGGGGGCAAGCGUUGUCCGGAAUCAUUGGGCGUAAAGAACGCGUAGGCGGUCCGGUAAGUCCGCUCUGAAAGUCCGGGGCUCAACCCCGGAAGGCGGGCGGAUACUGUCGGGCUAGAGUCCGGAAGAGGCGAGUGGAAUUCCUGGUGUAGCGGUGGAAUGCGCAGAUAUCAAGGAGGAACACCUAUAGCGAAGGCAGCUCGCUGGGACGACACUGACGCUGAGACGCGAAGCGUGGGGAGCGAACAGG
rnacentral:rRNA from 1 species